GUCACUUUGGCGGAGUGGUUAACGCGCUGCCCUGCUAAUUCCUCGGGUUAGCAUGCUAGGCAGUUCCUUCGGGAGCACAGGUUCGAAUCCUGUAGGUGACG